CUACAGGCACUGCUGCUGUCAAGCAUCCUCUUGAAGAAAGUUUACGUUCUUGUUGUCUGGUUCGUCCAACAAACGACGACGAAACGGACGUUUUCCUACCACACCCAAUGUGCCGCUUCACUCUGCUACUGAAGGAUCAGGCUGACUGCAACUGCUAUGGAUGGCAGGAAAACACAGUACACGUGAAUUUCUAGAUGAAGAGUGAAUAAAUGCACUUGCUUAACUGAUAA